UUAAAAUGUUUGUCUGUUCUUUGUCAGGUCUGAAAAAGAGACACCCACUACUGAAACCACUACAAAGACUGAGGCUUCAGAAGAAGAAGGAACUGAAGCUACGUCAAAGAAAACAAGUUCAGAAGAAGGAGAUGAGGAUGAAGAAGACUAAUCCUACUUAUGUAUUGCUAUAUAUUUUAUUAUUAAAUACAUUUCUCCAUG